rnacentral:tRNA from 1 species
GCUUGGGUAGCUCAGUCGGUUGAGCAUCUGACUUCGGCUCAGGUCGUGAUGUCGCGGUCUGUGGGUUCAAGCCCCGCAUCGGGCU